rnacentral:ncRNA from 2 species
UGCGAUGGUCCCUGCGGAUGCUAACGCAAU